AGGCAUCUUGGGCAGGUGACUGAACACUGGAGCCAGUGUCCCUGGGAGAUAGGGAAGUCCCUCCCCAUGAAGGGACCUAGGUUCUUUGUAUCCUCUCCUGUAGUCCUGGGCCAAUAACUGACUGCUUUAUGGAAAACACACACACACAAAACAAACAAACAAACAAAGAAACCACCUUGCAUUCAUGCCCCAAGACUGAGCAGACCCUGUGGUACAGUUUAUUCCCCAGAGGCCCCAUGGGAUCAAGCUGAAGCCCAGCUGCAUCGGAGACCACAUCCUUUUUCAUUUUUCUUUCCUCCCUUCCCAAUAUGGCUCCCACCGACCCCUACAUGUUUCUUGUGAGUGCACUCCAUUGAUAAAUGUCUUGCACAAACAUCCCCUUCUCAGGUUCUGCUCCAGGGAACUGUACCCAAGACACUACCAGCAUCUGUCCCUCAAUGCCACACACCUGUCAUCCCACACAUCAAAAGGAAUCCCACGUAAUAGGAUACAAGCACAACUGCAAACACACUCACUGCCCCCGCCCCCUCCAACAAGGAGACAAAUGAAAAGUCCAUCACUCAUCCAGAGAAGACUUUUUAGAGCCACUGUUCUUGGAGCCUGUUACCUCUGGAGCUUCUCCUGUACCUGCAGUUUCUCACGAUAAUCAGCUCACAAUAGUCCUUAUGCCAAAGAGGCAUGUGUGGAGGUGCCAUAUUCUGGUCUCCUACAACAUUCAGUAAUGGUCAAGAUGGUUGAUGCAGGAAACAGAUGGAGGGGCAGAAGUUGAUACUCAUCUCAUUAGAUCCAAAGAAGCCAAAUGGUGGCCAUCACCUGUGACAUGAAGAGGGUAUAUUUUAUGGAACUGGACAGCUUUCAGAAUCACAAGCAACCUCUUCAAAAUGUGAUCUACUGAAACGUGCUUGAAAGAGAGAAUAGGAGUGAGGCGGGCAAAGGAAGCAGAAGCCAUUGUGAACUGCCCUAGAGAAACCUUGGGCAUCUUUUUGUUGGGCAAAGUGGUAGAGGCUGAAACGGGGAAUAGCAUGUAACAUUUUAUUUGACUGAAAUAAACAGCUGUUUGUUUUUUUUUUCUUUCA